AUGCAGACCAAUAGUGAUAAUCUCGAGGUGAUUUAUGCAUUCUUCCAUGGCCACCAGCCUUAUGAUUGCAUCUGUGCGUCACAGCUUAGAGAUCAAUAAUGGAUGCAACAAGCUCUUUGAAUCAUUCUGUUGGGAUCAAGAUUGUUGUGUUCCCUCUGUUUGGAAAGAGACCAAGAAUGGAUACGCUCAGGUGAUUUAAGCAGUCUUCCAUGGCCACGAGCUCUGUGGUUGCCUCUGUAUAUUAAGAGCACAGAGAUUAAAAAUGGCCCCAUUCCAGCUGAUAUAAGCACUCUUCCAUGGCAUGUGCACUAUGGUUGGUUCUCUGUGUUAGGAGCACACAAACCAUUGCGAGUAUGCAUUCAUUUCCUCUCUUUACAAGAAUGGGUGCACUUGAGCCGAUUGAAACAUUCCUCCUUGCAUCUUUCUUCUGUGAUUGCAUCUAUUUGUUAGUAGCAUAGAGACCAAUAAUAGAUGGCUUGUGCUGAUGGAAGGAUUCCUCCCUGGUGACAUGCUGUGUCUGCCUCUUGAUUGGGAGCACGCAGACCUACAAUGAUGCACUUUUUAUGAUUUGAGAAUUCCUUCAUGGUCACGUGCUCUGUUUUUAUCAUGGUUGGGAGCCUGCAGAGCAAUAAGGGACAUGCCUUUGCUGAUUUGAGGAUUCCUCUGAGGUUGGGAGCUAAGUUUGCAUCAUGCUUAGAAAGGAGUGUGCAGACCUGUAAUGAUUGCACUUUGCUGAUUGAAGGAUUCCUUCAAGUCCAUGUGCUCCACUUGCACCAUUUUUAGGAUGGAGCCUGGAGACCUAUAAUGAACAACUUGUGCUGUGUUAAGGAUUCCUCCAUGAUCACGCGCCCCAUUUGUACACCAUGCUUGGGAAGGUGCAUGCAGACCAAUGUUAGUAAUAGUCAAAAUUCCUGUGUCGGUUUGUGUGGUUUGCUAAACAGGACUCAAUGUAUCAUGAAACAGUGUAUUAUAUAGUCAACUAUGGUCA
rnacentral:lncRNA from 1 species